rnacentral:rRNA from 1 species
GAUGAACGCUGGCGGCGUGCCUAAUACAUGCCAGUCGAGCGAACAGAUGAGGAGCUUGCUCCUCUGACGUUAGCGGCGGACGGGUGAGUAACACGUGGAUAACCUACCUAUAAGACUGGGAUAACUUCGGGAAACCGGAGCUAAUACCGGAUAAUAUAUUGAACCGCAUGGUUCAAUAGUGAAAGACGGUUUUGCUGUCACUUAUAGAUGGAUCCGCGCCGCCUUAGCUAGUUGGUAAGGUAACGGCUUACCAAGGCAACGAUGCGUAGCCGACCUGAGAGGGUGAUCGGCCACACUGGAACUGAGACACGGUCCAGACUCCUACGGGAGGCAGCAGUAGGGAAUCUUCCGCAAUGGGCGAAAGCCUGACGGAGCAACGCAGCGUGAGUGAUGAAGGUCUUCGGAUCGUAAAACUCUGUUAUUAGGGAAGAACAAAUGUGUAAGUAACUAUGCACGUCUUGACGGUACCUAAUCAGAAAGCCACGGCUAACUACGUG